rnacentral:rRNA from 1 species
GACGAACGCUGGCGGCGUGCUUAACACAUGCAAGUCGAACGGAAAGGCCCUGCUUUUGUGGGGUGCUCGAGUGGCGAACGGGUGAGUAACACGUGAGUAACCUGCCCUUGACUUUGGGAUAACUUCAGGAAACUGGGGCUAAUACCGGAUAGGAGCUCCUGCUGCAUGGUGGGGGUUGGAAAGUUUCGGCGGUUGGGGGUGGACUCGCGGCUUAUCAGCUUGUUGGUGGGGUAGUGGCUUACCAAGGCUUUGACGGGUAGCCGGCCUGAGAGGGUGACCGGCCACAUUGGGACUGAGAUACGGUCCAGACUCCUACGGGAGGCAGCAGUGGGGAAUAUUGCACAAUGGGCGGAAGCCUGAUGCAGCAACGCCGCGUGCGGGAUGACGGCCUUCGGGCUGUAAACCGCUUUCGCCUGUGACGAAGCGUGAGUGACGGUAAUGGGUAAAGAAGCACCGGCUAACUACGUG